rnacentral:misc_RNA from 1 species
UGCCUCCUUCACUACUACGCACUUCAGAGAUUCUUCCUGUUGUCAUGGGCCGCCGCCCUGCCCGUUGUUACCGGUACUGCAAGAAUAAGCCUUACCCAAAGUCUCGCUUCUGCCGAGGUGUCCCCGAUGCCAAGAUCCGCAUCUUUGACCUGGGUCGGAAGAAGGCCAAAGUGGAUGAGUUCCCACUCUGUGGCCACAUGGUGUCUGAUGAAUAUGAGCAGCUCUCUUCCGAAGCCCUGGAGGCCGCCCGAAUUUGUGCCAACAAGUACAUGGUGAAAAGUUGCGGCAAAGAUGGCUUUCACAUCCGAGUACGACUCCAUCCAUUCCAUGUCAUCCGCAUCAACAAGAUGUUGUCCUGUGCUGGUGCUGACAGGCUUCAGACAGGUAUGCGAGGUGCCUUUGGAAAGCCCCAGGGUACGGUGGCCCGAGUCCACAUUGGUCAAGUCAUCAUGUCCAUCCGCACCAAGCUUCAGAACAAGGAACAUGUGAUUGAAGCUUUACGCAGGGCCAAGUUCAAGUUCCCUGGGCGCCAGAAGAUUCAUAUCUCCAAGAAAUGGGGCUUUACCAAGUUUAAUGCUGAUGAAUUUGAAGACAAAGUGGCUAAGAAGCGCCUCAUUCCCGAUGGUUGCGGAGUCAAAUAUGUCCCCAACCGUGGACCUUUGGACAAGUGGCGAGCUCUGCACUCCUGAGGUCUUUGACAACACUGCCAACUUUGGCCAUGCUAGUCUAAGUUUUGUUCACCAAUAAAUUGUAUUUACUGGCAAAAA